GUUAAGCGACUAAGCGUACACGGUGGAUGCCCUGGCAGUCAGAGGCGAUGAAGGACGUGCUAAUCUGCGAUAAGCGUCGGUGAGGUGAUAUGAACCGUUAUAACCGGCGAUUUCCGAAUGGGGAAACCCAGUGUGUUUCGACACACUAUCAUUAACUGAAUCCAUAGGUUAAUGAGGCGAACCGGGGGAACUGAAACAUCUAAGUACCCCGAGGAAAAGAAAUCAACCGAGAUUCCCCCAGUAGCGGCGAGCGAACGGGGAGGAGCCCAGAGCCUGAAUCAGUGUGUGUGUUAGUGGAAGCGUCUGGAAAGGCGCGCGAUACAGGGUGACAGCCCCGUACACAAAAAUGCACAUACUGUGAGCUCGAUGAGUAGGGCGGGACACGUGGUAUCCUGUCUGAAUAUGGGGGGACCAUCCUCCAAGGCUAAAUACUCCUGACUGACCGAUAGUGAACCAGUACCGUGAGGGAAAGGCGAAAAGAACCCCGGCGAGGGGAGUGAAAAAGAACCUGAAACCGUGUACGUACAAGCAGUGGGAGCCUCUUAAUGGGGUGACUGCGUACCUUUUGUAUAAUGGGUCAGCGACUUAUAUUCUGUAGCAAGGUUAACCGAAUAGGGGAGCCGAAGGGAAACCGAGUCUUAACUGGGCGUUAAGUUGCAGGGUAUAGACCCGAAACCCGGUGAUCUAGCCAUGGGCAGGUUGAAGGUUGGGUAACACUAACUGGAGGACCGAACCGACUAAUGUUGAAAAAUUAGCGGAUGACUUGUGGCUGGGGGUGAAAGGCCAAUCAAACCGGGAGAUAGCUGGUUCUCCCCGAAAGCUAUUUAGGUAGCGCCUCGUGAAUUCAUCUCCGGGGGUAGAGCACUGUUUCGGCAAGGGGGUCAUCCCGACUUACCAACCCGAUGCAAACUGCGAAUACCGGAGAAUGUUAUCACGGGAGACACACGGCGGGUGCUAACGUCCGUCGUGAAGAGGGAAACAACCCAGACCGCCAGCUAAGGUCCCAAAGUCAUGGUUAAGUGGGAAACGAUGUGGGAAGGCCCAGACAGCCAGGAUGUUGGCUUAGAAGCAGCCAUCAUUUAAAGAAAGCGUAAUAGCUCACUGGUCGAGUCGGCCUGCGCGGAAGAUGUAACGGGGCUAAACCAUGC
rnacentral:rRNA from 1 species